CGCAAGCCUGUCUGCCAGUGCCGGUGCUUUCUGCUGGCAGUUCGCUCACGAACUCUUGCAAGAGCUGCCACACAUGGGAUUAGUGACAGGUAUGCCUUAGAGAAAUAGAAAGAGAGAAGAAGAUAUGAGUAGCCCUCUGUUGGAGCACAAGAACAGGUGGGUUUUUUGGACCUUUGGGGUUACCGUAGUGUAAACUCUAGGUGAGGGCUGGACUGAGGGAAGAGAAGGGAACAAGAGGAAAACAUUUAAGUUCUGGAGUGAGAGGAUUAGAGUGAGAGAAAGAAGCCAAGCAAGAAGCCAGGACAAGCAGGAAGAUAAGAAAAGACGGAAUAGAACAUCAGCUCUCUUCAGGAGAAAAGUGGAGCAACGAGGGACAGGUCUGACCCAACUGAACUGUUGGACUCUGAGGGCUUUCCACUGUGUGUAAUAGCAUCUUCCACUUCCGUUUUCUCAAGACCCACACAGGAAGCAACAAUUGACAAUAUAUAAUCAUGUCUACCAUCCAGGUGUCGCCUUCCAGACCUGAACAUUUUACUAGCCAAAAUAUGGACACUGCAAACAGCAACCUGUUAACUUAAGCCAGUAAUAUCCUCAUUUGCCUUGCUGCUCCGAAUCCUUAGUCAAAGAUUUUGGAGCAUUAGGAUCUCUUACAAAGAAAAACGAUCAGGACCAGACAAGGGCUAUGAGCAGCUAUACCCAAAUCUAGAUCUGGAGAGUGUGUUUUGCAGUUCAGGAUCCCAAAGGUCAGAGACUGGAAGCUGGAGCCUGAAAUGCAGCAGAUUAAAGGGUGCUACUAUCCUGCUGACCGGGAAGCUUUACAGACAGGGCUGUUACCGUGAAUCUCCUCCAGAAGAGAGUGUGUCCGUUCACACACCAGCCAAACACACUCUGAAGUCCAUUUGAGAUCCUUGGAAGCACUCCACACACAAAUGGGACUUUGUCUUCCUAAUUCUAGCUUAUCCCAAUGUAUUUCUGAGUUUUUUAAAUGCUGGUUUUAAGGAGUUUUUCUGAAAACGCUGGAGCAAAUAGGGAGAGGCACUGCCGUAGAAUCAUUAACAUGAUAAGAGGGAUACACUCUUUUAGGAAUGCAGAUACAGGCUUUAGAAUUCUCUCUCCCCACCCACCCCAUUGGCUAGAAGAAAAACAAAAAGGCAUGCAAUGUGAACCGGCACCUAAAUAAAACCUGAGAGCAGAGGGGAGGGGCUGCUUCCCUCAAUGACAUGAGUGUAAUUUGAAAUGGCUUCACUCAACAUUUACCCCGCAGCAUGAAGCCAUGUGUGAAUAACUCCCAGGUAAAGGCAGAAGGACGGGAUCCUAGCAUUUUUAUCGAGCCUGCCAAUUCAGAGACUUCAUACUACCUGCCAAUCAGAGAGGUUUAUGUGGCACACACCAGUUCCCUUUUGCUCCAGCUCUGAGGCUUAAGCACCCCCAGCCUACACACCUCACUAGACUAAGUCCCUGUUUCCAACUUGGAGGCUUCUGAUCCAAGCCCUGAAGUUUCUAUGAUAAUUGUGGUGCGGGUGGGGGGAAUCUGUAGUGGCUGGCUGAAGAUGUACACUCAUCUUUUGGCAUAUAUUAAGGCCAUAAACAUGACCAGAAGUCAGGGAGGGAGGGGGGAAGGCCUCCCCCAAGAUGAUCCUGCAAAGGUGGCGGGAAGCACCGACUGCUGCACACAGUGCGGAUCUCUGGAGGCCAGGACAAUGCCUCCCAGCCUCAAAAUAUCCUACAAUUUACCGUGCAACAAGCAUGGUGCAUUGGGGGAUAUCACUGUGCAACAGGCAUUCGAGGUGCCCAUCUCUGUAUCUUCUCAGGCUAUAAGCAGCCCGAGCUCACACAUAACCCCAGUGCUGGGGUCAAAGGUGUGCAUGCAAUAUGCAUCAACGGAAAUCUUCAGACGAGUUCUCGGUGCAGAUCUGGUACCCUCGAGUUUGGCAUGUUGCCACAAAUUCGUUUGGCAUGUUGCUCUCUUUGGAAAACCCAGUGCAUGAAGGAAAUCUCUCCAGAAGCAAGGUAAAACCAGACCCUGUAGAAAUUGUCUGGUCCCCAUUGUGUAAUGCAUGCCGACAGAGGUCACUUUCUCUUUACAAACCACAAAAGCACUUUCUCUUUACAAACCACAUUCUCUUUACAAAACAUUUUGGAGAGGCACUCCUUGAGGCCCAUGACCCUUAAUGCAGCUCACUGGGCCUUUUUCAUUUGUUUUCUCUGGUUUGAUGGUGUGCUAUAUCUUGCAUGAUGUCACUGUAAUCUUUAACACUCAAUAACAAAUCUCUAUU